AUGUACGGGUUUUGGAGAGAUGGCUUUGUGCUCCGUUAGGCCCGUCCCACAAGUGCUGCUUGGCUGUCGUCAGCUCGUGUCGUGAGAUGUUGGGUUAAUUCCCGCAACGAGCGCAACCCUUGUCAUUAGUUGCUACAUUCUUUUGGGCACUCUAAUGAGACUGCCGGUGACAAACCGGAGGAAGGUGGGGAUGACAUGAAGUCCUCAUGGCCCUUAUAGGUGGGGCUACACACGUCAUACAAUGGCUGGUACAAAGGGUUGCCAACCCAGACGGGGGAGCUAAUCCCAUAAAACCAGUCAUAGUCCGGAUCGUUGUCUGCAACUCCUCUGCUGGAAGUCGGAAUCAUUAGUAAUCAUGGAUCAUAAUGUCGCGGUGAAUAAUUUCCCGGCUUUGUUCACACCG
rnacentral:rRNA from 1 species